rnacentral:rRNA from 1 species
UACGGGGGGGGGCAAGCGUUGUUCGGAAUUACUGGGCGUAAAGGGCUCGUAGGCGGCCAACUAAGUCGGACGUGAAAUCCCUCGGCUUAACCGGGGAACUGCGUCCGAUACUGGAUGGCUUGAGGUUGGGAGAGGGAUGCGGAAUUCCAGGUGUAGCGGUGAAAUGCGUAGAUAUCUGGAGGAACACCGGUGGCGAAGGCGGCAUCCUGGACCAAUUCGUGACGCUGAGUGAGCGAAAGCCAGGGGAGCAAACGGGAUUAAGAAACC